rnacentral:rRNA from 1 species
AGUUCGAUUAUGGCUCAGAUUGAACGCUGGCGGGAUGCUUUACAUGCAAGUCGAACGGCAGCACGGACUUCGGUCUGGUGGCGAGUGGCGAACGGGUGAGUAAUGUAUCGGAACGCCUAGUAGCGGGGGAUAACUACGCGAAAGCGUAGGCCAUCACCGCAUACGCCCUUCGGGGAAAGCGGGGGACCUUCGGGCCUCGCACUAUUAGAGCGGCCGAUAUCGGAUUAGCUAGUUGGUGGGGUAACGGCUCACUACAGGACGAUCCGUAGCCGGUUUGAGAGGACGACCAGCCACACUGGGACUGAGAGCAUGGCCCAGACUCCUACGGGAGGCAGCAGUGGGGAAUUUGACAAUGGGGGAAACCCUGAUCCAGCCAUCCCGCGUGUGCGAUGAAGGCUCGGGUUGUAAAGCACUUUUGGCAGGAAAGAAAACGGCACGGGAUAAUACUCCCGUGCAACUGACGGUACCUGCAGAAUAAGCACCGGCUAACUACGUGCCAGCAGCCGCGUGGUUACUGCAGGGUGCAAGCGUUAAUCGGAAUUACUGGGCGUAAAGCGUGCGCAGGCGGUUCGGAAAGAAAGAUGAAAUCCCAGAGCUUAACUGGAACUGCAUUUUGGAACAAUGGUUUUGAGGUGUCAGAGGAGGUGGAAUUCUGCGUGUAGCAGAAAUGCGUAGAUAUGCGGAGAACAACUGAUGGCGAAGGCAGCCUCCUGGGAUAACACUGACGCUCAUGCACGAAAGCGUGGGGAGCAAACAGGAUUAGAUACCCUGGUAGUCCACGCCCUAAACGAUGUCAACUAGCCGUUGGGGCUCUCGGGCCUUAGUAGCAGCUAACGCGUGAAGUUGACCGCCUGGGAGUACGGUCGCAAGAUUAAACUCAAAGGAAUUGACGGGGACUCGCAAUAAGCGGUGGUGGAUGAUGUGGAUUAAUUCGAUACAACGCGAAAACCUUACCUACCCUCGUGACAUGUCUGGAAUCCCGAAGAGAUUUGACGUUUCGCGAGAACCCAUCACAGGUAUGUGCUGGCUGUCGUCAGCUCGUGUCGUGAGAUGUUGGGUUAAGUCCUGCAACGAGUGCAACUCCUGUCAUUAGUUGCUACGAAAGGGUAAUUUUAUCGCAGACGCUGCACAACCGAGGCGUGGAGAUGACGUCAAGUCCUCAUGGCCCUUAUGGGUAGGGCUUCACACGUCAUACAAUGGUCGGGACAGAGGGUCGCCAACCCGCGAGGGGGAGCCAAUCCCAGAAACCCGAUCGUAGUCCGGAUCGCAGUCUGCAACUCGACUGCGUGAAGUCGGAAUCGCUAGUAAUCGCGAUCAGCAUGUCGCGGUGAAUACAUGUUCCCGGUCUUGUACAGACCUGCCGUCACAUCGGCGGCCUUGCCCGGUAUGAAGAACAACCAAGAGUAAGAGCUUACCACGGCAGACUGGCGACCGAAGUCGUAACAAUGUAG